rnacentral:tRNA from 1 species
GCGGGUGUCGUAUAACGGCUAUUACCCUAGCCUUCCAAGCUAGAGACGAGGGUUCGACUCCCUUCACCCGCUCCA